rnacentral:lncRNA from 10 species
GUCAUGGUUCUGGAGUCUGGGAAGUCCAAGACUGAAGGGCCACAUCACAUCUGAUGAAGGCCUUCUUGCUGUGUCAUAACAUAGCAGGAGGCAUCACAGAGGAGAGACAGAGCAAGAGAGGGGGACAAACUCAUCCUUUAUAAGAACUCCACUCCCACAAUAAUGAACCCCGUCCCACAUUAAUCCUACUCGCCUCCUAAACUUAAAGGCCCCACCUAAACAAUGUUCCACUGGGGAUUAACUUUCCAACACAUGAAUUUUGGGGGACACAUUUAAACCAGUGGAACAAGAAUACUGGGGAAUAUAAACUAGGACUAACUUUAUACCCAGGGAGUUUAGGGCCUGGAAAAGAAAAUUUCAUGACACAAACCACUGUUGCUUGCCUCAGCAGCUGACGCCUCAGUUUGCAGCGACACUAGAGGGUUCUGCAGUCUUCUACUUCAGUUUGGAAGGAAGAAAAGGGAGAUAAAUCUUUCAACUUUAAUGUGAAUUUCAAAGAUGCACCAGGUAUUGUCUAUUGACACUCCACAACAUUCCCACUCUUAUUCCCUUCCCUGGAUUUCAGAGACUGGAGGCCUUGAGACAAUAUUUCUCAGACUCCCUUGCGAAUGCAAUCUCUGAAGAAAAUUUGGAAGACAGAAGGGAGCUAGAAGCCAUACUUUUCCUCUAGCAGGAAGAGUAGAUGUGAGUUUUCACAGCACCCUGUUAAACUCCUUUCUAAGCUAGUCAUCCUGGGGCCAAUGGGAUACUCAUGCUAUCAGCAAUGGCUUUCUGCAAUUUUCUGACCUCUGGGUGGCAGAAACAAUUUCCUGACCAUGGUUAUCCUGAAAGCUAGUUGUAAACCCUGAGCUAUGCUCGUCCACGUUCUUUCUUACUUCCAGGAAUGAUGAUGACCAGAGUGCCUUGGAAGCCAUUUUGAAGAGGGCAGAGAUGAUAACAGGCUGGGUCUACAUGAAGGGGCACUGCCUGUCAAUAUGGAAUACCCAUGGUUGAUUCUUGUGUGAGCAAGAAAGAGACUGUAUCUGAGCCAUUAAAUUUUGGGUCUAAUCAGUAGUUUGGCCUAACCAUAGUACUACAAAAGUUGUAGUAAGCAUCUAGUUACUGGUAGUUCCUGGAGUUUGUGGACAAGCAACCGGGCUUACAAAUGGUAUCUGAGCAUCUGAGAGGUUGCUG